UAGGGAAUAUUAGUUAAUGUGCGAAAGCGCGAACUAGCAACGCCGCGUGUGCGAUGAAGGCCUUCGGGUCGUAAAGCACUUUUCCGAGGGACGAGGAAGGACGGUACCUCGGGAAUAAGCAUCGGCUAACUACGUGCCAGCAGCCGCGGUAAAACGUAGGAUGCGAGCGUUAUCCGGAUUUACUGGGCGUAAAGCGCGUGUAGGCGGUUUGGUAAGUUGGAUGUGAAAGCUCCUGGCUUAACUGGGAGAGGUCGUUCAAUACUGCCGAGCUAGAGGAUGGUAGAGGGAGGUGGAAUUCCGAGUGUAGUGGUGAAAUGCGUAGAUAUUCGGAGGAACACCAGUGGCGAAAGCGGCCUCCUGGACCAUUUCUGACGCUCAGACGCGAAAGCUAGGGUAGCAAACG
rnacentral:rRNA from 1 species